AUGGCUCCUUCGUGCAAGAGCUCCUUCGGCUACAAUGGAAGGCAACGGUGCCCGUCCGACAGCUACGGCGCGGUGUUCCAGCACACCGGCAACCAGUAUUGGCUCGACACUUUCACGUUGGCCAACAUUGUCGCCCGUGCGUACGACGUCGCAGUGUGGAGUCUUGCCCCCUGCUCGAAGCUCAGCCUGGAGAGUGGGACUUGGGCGGAUGUGUAG
rnacentral:rRNA from 1 species